CCAAAGGAAGGACUGGACGUGGCAGUCAGUGCUCUGGGCUGGGGCACAAGGUGGACACCGGGCACAGGGUGAUCUUAAUGAUCUUGAAGGUCUUUUCCAGCCUCGGUGAUUCUGUGAGUCUCGGGCUCUCCCGGCUGCUGAGAGCGGGUGGGCGAGCACUCGCCUCCAGCGACGUCAGCGCCGCUCCGCCGGCAGCCAGCGCUGGGGAGGGGGCGAGAGGCGCUUCUCUGGAAAGUACUUCCACACCCACCACGAACCCUCUGGGAUAGACGUGAUCUUUGCCACCUAAGAACGAAAGCUGAAUUUGCAGCAGCAGUAAUGCCCAAGCCACAUCUGGCUCGUGAUGCACAUGGGAUCAGACCGGGACUUUGGGAGGAGGAGGAUCUGGAUUCAGAGCCACAGGAGUCGGUGGCAUCCUGGCAGAAGUCCAGCUGGGCUCCCCAUGUGCCCCCUCCCAGAACCACACAGAACCACAGAAUCAUCAAGGCUGGAAGAGACCUUCAAGAUCAUCCAGUCCAACCAUCAACUCAGAACCACCAUAGCCAGCCCUAAACCAUGUCCCCAAGUGCCACAUCCAGAGCCUUGGGGUUCAGAGGUCAAGGCGAGAGGACUCAUCCAUGUCCUGACAUGAACUGCAGGAAGAACACACUCUCGGGCUCUUCUUCUUUAUUUUAUUAUUAUUAUUUUUAGGGGUGUGUGUUAAUUUUUUUAACCCAGUUAGCAAGUUCAGAGUAUUUUCUAUGUUAAUAUUUGACUCAGAGGUGAUGCAGUUUGGCCCCGUGGCUGUUGUUACCUGCAUCCCCCAGAAAGAUCAACAUCUCCCCAGACUCUGAGCCCCGGUGGUGCUGAUUCCUGCUGGGAUAUGAAAGGCGAAGCAGAGACAUCUGAUGGGGCUCCAGCGCUGACUCACUGUUUGAUGUGAGGCAGGAGGAGAGAUGUGAUCAGAUCCCUCUGUGCAGAGCAGCCACCAGACAACGCGUCACCAGGCAAAGAGACUCCUGCUCCUCCCAGCCCCUCAAACAGUGGAUCAGCCCUCACCAUCCCCUGCUCCUCCUGAGCUCUGCAGAGACCACCCAGCCAGCGCAGCACCCGGAUGUCACCUCUGAAAUGGCUCUUAGGUUGUGGACUCCCCAUCCCUGGGAGUGUCCAAGGCCAGGUUGGACGGGGCUUGGAGCA